CUUGAAUUUGUUUGCAAGAUGUCAGAAUAGCCUCCCAGAGCUGCUGUUUGGAUGUAAACUGCCUCCCACCCUCAUCGACCUUUUGCUUGAGGAUGCUCCAAAGGUUCUCAAUAGGAUUGUGGUCAGGGGAGGAUGGAGGCCACACCAUGACAUUCUCUCCUUUUAUCCCCAUAGCAGCCAUUGAUGCAGAGGUAUUCUUUGCAGCAUGAGAUGGUGCAUUGUCAUGCAUGAAUAUGAUUUUACUACGGAGAGCAUAGUUCUUCGUUCUGUACCAGGGGAGAAAGUGGUCAGUUGGAAACUCCACAUACUUUGCAGAGGUCAUCUUUACACCUUCGAGGACCCUAAAGGGGCCGACCAGUUCUCUUCCCAUGAUUCCGGCCCAAAACACGACUCCACCGCCUUGCUG